rnacentral:lncRNA from 1 species
GCAAGCAGGUCCAAAAUAGCUGAAGGGGGCCAGAGCCUGAGCAUCAGCUGUCACUGCAAACUUCCCAUAAAAACACAGUCAGAUCGACGUGUAUCCCCAUGCUCGUGGCCCUCAGUGGAAAACCUCUCACAUCUAGUUGUCUGGGGCUUGGAUAUACUGCAGAGUGCUAAAGCACUAGCUAAUCCUCUUCUUGGUCUGCGAGUUCAAACCAGGAAUUAUGACGAAAGGGAAGCCUUUGUGAAGGUGAUCCGAAAGUUGCAGAUUUUUGUCUUUGUCCUUCACGGAGACCUCCUCCAUUGGGCCAGAGCAUUCAGAAACAAGAUUGGCACCAGAGUGCUCCCCACAAGACUGUCAGAGAUUGACUGGGACACCCUUCUGCCAUCAGAUAGCAUACCAGGCAGAGAAAAUUGUAAUUACUCUUCAAAUUUCAGAAAGAACUCUUACCCUUUCUCCAUCCUUCCUGACUGUUGUUCCAUGUAUGUGGGAUUCCAACUACAUCUGAUGUCUGCUGAUGAAACUUCAAGUACUGAAGAUCCCCUGGUCAGUUUCUCCCCGAGUCAAAAAAGAAAGUUCCCCCAAUUUCUCCAAACCACUUCACAAUUAAGUAGAGAAAGUGUUGUAAUUCCCAAGUGGUUAUUCUGACAUAACCACUGUUUGCACUUUUCUUGUUCGUUGCCAAUUAGUCAUAGGAACCACUACAAUGGGAAAGAUUCAAACAUGUAAAAAUUUAUAUUGCCUAAUGGGCUAAUUUGCAUGAGAGCUAUUAGAGAAAUAAAGGCUCAUUUGAUACGUAGCA